UAAGCAUCACAAUAGUUAAUAUCCUGUAUGUGGCCUUAUACUGAUAAUAACGUGUAGUAUGCACCGGGCUUUAUACUUUUUGGUUGUUGUGUUUAUGGUCAUUUUAGUUUUAUAUAGAGAACUGUCAGAUUUUGGCGGAAUGCCGUCGACCGAUAUUAUGUACGAUGUGAUCUUAGUUAAUACGGUGUAUCGAUGUAAUAAAAGAAAUAUUAACUGGAUGCAGUGGUUUGUAUGAUAAACCCCAUUUACUGAGCUUUAAAUCAAUGGACUUCUACAUCUCAGAAAGCGGGAUUAUGAAUUCAAAUGCCCACAUAGAUAUUGGAUGCACUUAAUUUAUUUUCACUUGUAUAGAGGUGCAUAAAAAUGUAAGUUGCUUGGUCUUUUAAAUGUUUGUUUCAAAGUCGAAACAGUUGAGUUGAUAGUAUAUAAAUGAUACAAGAUUUCAUUAGCUUGUUUGUUUUGCUAGCUAAAGAGAACGAUUGACAGUUCGUUUCGUUUGCAUAAAUCAAAAGUUUUGUUUUAAAUUUUCAAUGUACUGUACAUAGUUACAUACAUUUGCUAUGGUAUUGACCUAUUUAUUAACCCGUGUUCUUGUCAUUGUUUGUUUUCGGUUUUGUGAGAUGAGACGGAAUACAAUGAGAGUAGAUCUCGAAAAUACAAGCGCAAGCAAUCAACCAUCAACUUUCUGGUGAGACAAGAGCCAUACUUAAGAGCCUGUGACAUGGUUAUGAAGGAAGGCAACGCGGUAAGGAUGGCAUUGUGCAGUGCAAGUGCUCAGUGAAUCUAGUUAUUAACACUGAGUUGUAUAAUGACAUUCUUUGAUGAUAAGCGAGGGUCUCGCAGCAAGAGCUGACUAAAGCAAAGAAGGUUAAGCUAUUACAUGGUGCUGUCAGCAGUGGGGCAGGGUCCAAGCUGCCGAUGGCCAGGGCCGCUGAGUGAGAAACCGGCGUACUAUACACGCCGUGUCCAGGAUAUAGCAAUCUGCAUCUGACCAGCGAGAGUCUCUGAGUGUUGGGUUGGUCAGUUUGGCAGACUGUCUAGUACAGGCCGUAAUGGCAGACUGUCUAGAGCAGGCCAUGACUGUUUAUUAUGUUAGUUUAUACUUUGGCUGACUAUCUAGAGCAGGUCCUGAUGGCAGACUGUCUAGAGGCCAUAAGUAGGUAUAUAUGCUGUUAAGGUACUUGUAAUAUGAGAUACUUGUAAUUUGUUUGAAUUGAUAUUUGCGGUUAGUUGUAUUUUAUAAUUGUUGAUGUGUUUUUUUUUAAUUGUAUGCAAAUUCCAUGUUGACGUGUAAAAGUGCCCUUGUGGCCUAUUUGCUGAAUAAAUGUUGAAAUUGAAGAAGUUGGCCUUGUUGCCUGAUUCAUUAUAUUCGUUUAUACUUUGACAAACUGCCCAGAGUAGGCCUUGAAGGCAGACUGUCUAGAACAGGCUAUGAUAGCAGCCUGUCUUCUAGAGCAGGCCGUGAUGGCAGACUGUCUAGACUAAUCUAGUCUGAAGCAGGCCAUAACAAAUUAAAUCAGUACAAUGAUUAGGUGUGAGGUUUGGCAGACUGUCUAGAACAGGCUAUGAUAGCAGCCUGUCUUCUAGAGCAGGCCGUGAUGGCAGACUGUCUAGACGAAUCUAGUCUAGAGCAGGCCAUAACAAAUUAAAUCAUUACAAUGAUUAGGUGUGAGGUUUGGCAGACUGUCUAGAAUAGGCUAUGAUAGCAGCCUGUCUUCUAGAGCAGGCCGUUGUGGCAGACUGUCUAGACUAAUCUAGUCUAGAGCAGGCCCUAACAAAUUAAAUCAUUAAAAUGAUUAGGUGUGAGUUUUGGCAGACUGUCUAGAACAGGCUUUGAUAGCAGCUUGUCUUUUAGAGCAGGCCGUGAUGGCAGACUGUCUAGACCAGUCAAGUCUAGAGCAGGCUAUAACAAUUUAUACUUUGGAAUGAUGUCUAGAGCAGGCCUUGAAGGCAGACUGUGAUUGUUUAUGAUGUGUUAUAUUUUGUUAAAAUUCCUAGAGCAGGCCUUGAGGGCAGACUGUGAUUUUUGAUGUUGAUUUAUACUUUGCCAGACUGUUUAGAGCAGGCCUUGAGGGCAGACUGUGAUUGUUUGUGGUUAUGUAUUAUAUUUUGCCAAACUGUUUACAGCAGGCCUUAAGGGCAGACUGUGAUUGCUUCUGAUCAUGUUAUAUACGUUUUCAAACUGUUUAGAGCAGGCCUUGAGGCAGACUGUGAUUGUUUAUGAUCAUGUAUUUAUACUUUGCCAGACUGUUUAGAGCAGGCCUUGAGUGCAGACUGUGAUUGUUUAUGAUCAUGUAUUAUACUUUGUCCAACUGUUUAGAGCAGGCCUUGAGUGCAGACUGUGAUUGUUUAUGAUCAUGUAUUAUACUUUGCCCAACUGUUUAGAGCAGGCCUUGAGUGCAGACUGUGAUUGUUUACGAUCAUGUAUUAUACUUUGCCAAAUUGUUUAGAUCAGGCCUUGAGGGCAGACUGUGAUCGUUGAGGUUGGUUUAUACUUUGGCAGACUGCCUAGAGCAGACCAUGAUUGUAAGUUAGUUCAUAUAUUCUUUCUUUUUUGAGUUCUUUAUUUAACAUAAUUUAGUACAAUGUAAUUACUUAAUCUAGUGUACAUUUCCAUCCUAGACAGUAAUAACAAUAAAUUAAUACAGUUUAGUGAGCUAUAAGCGCUCAUUAUAAACUUUUUAAAAACUUAGUGUUUAUAACAUUGCCAUGGGUAAAAUCAUACUUACACUAAAGCUUAGAACAGCAGCAUAACUAUUAUUACGUUCGCUCAGAUAUAGCUUACGUUUGUUGCAUACAUAAUAACCACCUAUAAUUAAAACAUUUAACGAUUAAGCUAAACUAACAAAUUUGAUAUAGUUUAUAAUUAUAACGUAUACAAAUACACAUGAGUUCAUAUAUUGAAAGACUAUCUAAAGAAGGCUGUUAAUGCUACCAGGUGUUGGUUGUAUUCAAUGACUGUUUACAUGAUCUCAGAUUCAAGCAUGUUAAGCGUUAAUAUUUAUUUCUCAAUAAGGCUAAAGGUUAUUAUUGGCUAUGAUUGAUUCAUGUGAGCCCAUACUGUGCAUAAGAAGUGUACUGUGUAGAAGUUUACAAAUACUGUUGUUGUGAAUGUUUAUCUUUGAUAUCGAUAAAGGUGUUACGAUAUAUUGCUGUUGUUAUUAAUGUUUAUAAUUACUUUUAGUGAGAGGGCUCACUUUUAAAAAAAAAGGAUGGCCGAAGCUGUAAGCAUCACAAUAGUUAAUAUCCUGUAUGUGGCCUUAUACUGAUAAUAACGUGUAGUAUGCACCGGGCUUUAUACUUUUUGGUUGUUGUGUUUAUGGUCAUUUUAGUUUUAUAUAGAGAACUGUCAGAUUUUGGCGGAAUGCCGUCGACCGAUAUUAUGUACGAUGUGAUCUUAGUUAAUACGGUGUAUCGAUGUAAUAAAAGAAAUAUUAACUGGA